rnacentral:rRNA from 1 species
UUACUCCUACGGGAGGCAGCAGUGGGGAAUAUUGCACAAUGGGCGAAAGCCUGAUGCAGCGACGCCGCGUGAGGGAUGACGGCCUUCGGGUUGUAAACCUCUUUCAGCAGGGAAGAAGCGAAAGUGACGGUACCUGCAGAAGAAGCGCCGGCUAACUACGUGCCAGCAGCCGCGGUAAUACGUAGGGCGCAAGCGUUGUCCGGAAUUAUUGGGCGUAAAGAGCUCGUAGGCGGCUUGUCGCGUCGGUUGUGAAAGCCCGGGGCUUAACCCCGGGUCUGCAGUCGAUACGGGCAGGCUAGAGUUCGGUAGGGGAGAUCGGAAUUCCUGGUGUAGCGGUGAAAUGCGCAGAUAUCAGGAGGAACCACCGGUGGCGAAGGCGGAUCUCUGGGCCGAUACUGACGCUGAGGAGCGAAAGCGUGGGGAGCGAACAGGAUUAGAUACCCUGGUAGUCCACGCCGUAAACGGUGGGCACUAGGUGUGGGCAACAUUCCACGUUGUCCGUGCCGCAGCUAACGCAUUAAGUGCCCCGCCUGGGGAGUACGGCCGCAAGGCUAAAACUCAAAGGAAUUGACGGGGGCCCGCACAAGCGGCGGAGCAUGUGACUGAAUUCGACGCAACGCGAAGAACCUUACCAAGGCUUGACAUACACCGGAAAGCAUCAGAGAUGGGGCCCCCCCCCU